rnacentral:tRNA from 1 species
AUAGCUCAGUUGGGAGAGCGCUAGCUUUGCAAGCUUGAGGUCGUCGGUUCGAUCCCGACU